UGCAAUAUGAUCCCAAUGGCCAUGCUCUCCCCAAAGUUUUUUCCCCUGCUCCUUAAAGGCCAUUGGCCUGUUUAGCAGCUGAGUUUGAUUAGGGUACCAGUUAAGUUGGUGAUGGUCCAUAUGUGCUUGAGGCUAUAAAUGCCCAUUCAGAUCCUACUUUGAAAAGUGAUAUUGUAGCAGAUCCGACUGUUGUGACUGCUGAUGUUUCGAAGAAUACCUCUGAAGUUGAGCCCAACUUGGUUGGUGACCUUGCUUCUUCUAAGGAGAUUUGAAG
rnacentral:lncRNA from 1 species